CGCUGGCGGCAGGCCUAACACAUGCAAGUCGAGCGCAGUCCUUCGGGACCGAGCGGCGGACGGGUUAGUAACGCGUGGGAACAUACCCUUUUCUACGGAAUAGCCUCGGGAAACUGAGAGUAAUACCGUAUAAGCCCUUCGGGGGAAAGAUUUAUCGGGAAAGGAUUGGCCCGCGUUAGAUUAGAUAGUUGGUGGGGUAAUGGCCUACCAAGUCUACGAUCUAUAGCUGGUUUUAGAGGAUGAUCAGCAACACUGGGACUGAGACACGGCCCAGACUCCUACGGGAGGCAGCAGUGGGGAAUCUUAGACAAUGGGCGCAAGCCUGAUCUAGCCAUGCCGCGUGUGUGAUGAAGGUCUUAGGAUCGUAAAGCACUUUCGCCAGGGAUGAUAAUGACAGUACCUGGUAAAGAAACCCCGGCUAACUCCGUGCCAGCAGCCGCGGUAAUACGGAGGGGGUUAGCGUUGUUCGGAAUUACUGGGCGUAAAGCGUACGUAGGCGGAUCAGAAAGUUAGGGGUGAAAUCCCGAGGCUCAACCUCGGAACUGCCUCUAAAACUCCUGGUCUUGAGUUCGAGAGAGGUGAGUGGAAUUCCAAGUGUAGAGGUGAAAUUCGUAGAUAUUUGGAGGAACACCAGUGGCGAAGGCGGCUCACUGGCUCGAUACUGACGCUGAGGUACGAAAGUGUGGGGAGCAAACAGGAUUAGAUACCCUGGUAGUCCACACCGUAAACGAUGAAUGCCAGUCGUCGGGCAGUAUACUGUUCGGUGACACACCUAACGGAUUAAGCAUCCGC
rnacentral:rRNA from 1 species